GUGAGGAAUAUUGGUCAAUGGGCGAGAGCCUGAACCAGCCAAGUCGCGUGAAGGAAGACGGCCCUACGGGUUGUAAACUUCUUUUGCAAUGGAAUAAAAAGAGUUACGUGUAAUUCAUUGUAUGUACAUUGCGAAUAAGGAUCGGCUAACUCCGUGACAGCAGCCGCGGUAAUACGGAGGAUCCGAGCGUUAUCCGGAUUUAUUGGGUUUAAAGGGUGCGUAGGCGGAUUGGAAAGUCAGCGGUGAAAGUUUGCAGCUUAACUGUAAAAUUGCCAUUGAAACUGUCAGUCUUUAGUGCAAAUGAGGUAGGCGGAAUGUGUUGUGUAGCGGUGAAAUGCAUAGAUAUAACACAGAACACCGAUUGCGAAGGCAGCUUACUGGGUUGCAACUGACGCUCAUGCACGAAAGCGUGGGGAUCAAACAGGAUUAGAUACCCGGGUAGUCC
rnacentral:rRNA from 1 species